rnacentral:rRNA from 1 species
GACGAACGCUGGCGGCGUGCUUAACACAUGCAAGUCGAACGGUGAACGAGGGAGCUUGCUCCCUCCGGAUCAGUGGCGAACGGGUGAGUAACACGUGAGCAAUCUGCCCCGAACUCUGGGAUAAGCGUUGGAAACGACGUCUAAUACCGGAUACGACGCGGGAGGGCAUCCUCUCCGCGUGGAAAGAACUUCGGUUCGGGAUGAGCUCGCGGCCUAUCAGCUUGUUGGUGAGGUAACGGCUCACCAAGGCGACGACGGGUAGCCGGCCUGAGAGGGUGACCGGCCACACUGGGACUGAGACACGGCCCAGACUCCUACGGGAGGCAGCAGUGGGGAAUAUUGCACAAUGGGCGCAAGCCUGAUGCAGCAACGCCGCGUGAGGGACGACGGCCUUGGGGUUGUAAACCUCUUUUAGCAGGGAAGAAGCGAAAGUGACGGUACCUGCAGAAAAAGCACCGGCUAACUACGUG